UACGGAGGGGGCAAGCGUUGUUCGGAAUUACUGGGCGUAAAGCGCGCGUAGGCGGGGAUGUAAGUCAGAGGUGAAAGCCCGGGGCUCAACCCCGGAACUGCCUUUGAGACUGGAUUGCUAGAAUCUUGGAGAGGCGAGUGGAAUUCCGAGUGUAGAGGUGAAAUUCGUAGAUAUUCGGAAGAACACCAGUGGCGAAGGCGGCUCGCUGGACAAGUAUUGACGCUGAGGUGCGAAAGCGUGGGGAGCAAACAGG
rnacentral:rRNA from 1 species